AUUGCAACUCCUGACAAAGGUUG
rnacentral:siRNA from 1 species